UUGACGGGGCCCGCACAAGCGGUGGAGCAUGUGGUUUAAUUCGAUGCAACGCGAAGAACCUUACCUGGUCUUGACAUCCCGGAGACCCUUAGGAAACUAGGGGGUGCUUCCAUCUGGAAGAAUCUGGAGACAGGUGCUGCAUGGCUGUCGUCAGCUCGUGUCGUGAGAUGUUGGGUUAAGUCCCGCAACGAGCGCAACCCUUGCCUUUAGUUGCCAGCAGUUCGGCUGGGCACUCUAAAGGGACUGCCGGUGUUAAACCGGAGGAAGGUGGGGAUGGCGUCAAGUCCUCAUGGCCUUUAUGACCAGGGCUACACACGUACUACAAUGGCCGAUACAAAGGGCAGCGACACUGCGAGGUGAAGCCAAUCCCGUAAAAUCGGUCUCAGUCCGGAUUGGAGUCUGCAACUCGACUCCAUGAAGUUGGAAUCGCUAGUAAUCGUGGAUCAGCAUGCCACGGUGAAUACGUUCCCGGGCCUU
rnacentral:rRNA from 1 species